UGGGCGCAGAGAGACAGGCGGGCGCGCGCUAGGCUGACUGAAGGGUGCGGGCGGGCCUGCGGGCUCGAGGUGGGCGGCGACGGCGGCGACCUCCAUCUUCUGGCCCGUGCUCCCGCCUCCUCCUGCCUGCGCCUGUCAGGCCCCCUUGGCUCUCGAGGCCCCUCCCCGCCGAGGCCCUGAGGAAAGCCUCGAGAGCCUUCCAGAACCUUCCAUGACCUGAGGCGCCUGCGGUGAGGCGUCGCGGCGGUUCCGACCCGCGCCCACCAGAGGGGUGGUCGUGCGUUUCGCACAUGACCCACUUGUGUGGGCGGUGACCCGGGAAGCAGCAAAGGUGAGAGAAAUCCUCAGGCCCGGCCCCAGCGCGGGAUGUGAGAUGGGCAGCCGUAAUUUGGGUCUGCUGAGACGUGUGAAUUGGUACCUUUCUGGAAAACGACUUGACGUUAUCUGUCAAAUGCCUCGAAAACGUUGCAGACCCUCCAACCCUGCAAUUUCCACUUCCAGAGAUUUAUCGUAAAGAUAUAAUCAGAUGUGCACAAAGAUGGGUGUGCAGUGAUGUUUUCUGCAGCGUUACUUAUAUCGUGGAAAAAAUCAGGAGGCCCUGAGAUGUCCAACAGUAGAGGUGUGGUUAGCUAAAACAUGAUAGAAGUUAUUUUUUGAAAUGUCUUCGGUAACAAGAAAUAUUUAUGAUGCAUUUCCAGUAGAAGGGGAAAAACUUUUAAUGAAAGCCAAACAGACUCUGAGAAGGGUGGAUCUUGUCAAAGGAUGUUCCCUCACUGACUCUGCCAGUCAUUUGUGCUGCUUCAGAAGUAGACCCUUUGGUGCAGCUGUGAGUCUCGAUGAUUUGGGGUGUGUGCUUAUUCUUUAAACGAAUGUUUGAGAGACUACUUGGUGACAGGAACUGGCCAUACAGUGGUGAGGAAAAUAGCACUCAGGGAACUCAGCCUGAUGGAGAAGACAUUUAAUAAAAUCACAACUAAGACUGAAACACUUUAUGCUGGCACUACUAUAUGCACUUUGCAAUUAUUAAUUUUAUUUAACGCAAGAACCCUAAAAUGUUAGUAUAAUAAUCGGCCCCGGGACUCCCCUGGUGACGCAGUGGUUAAGAAUCUGCCUGCUGGGCUUCCCUGGUGGCGCAGCGGUUGGGAGUCCGCCUGCCGAUGCAGGGGACACGGGUUCGUGCCCCAGUCUGGGAAGAUCCCACAUGCCGCGGAGCGGCUGGGCCCGUGAGCCGUGGCCGCUGAGCCUGCGCGUCCGGAACCUGUGUUCCGCAACGGGAGAGGCCACAACAGUGAGAGGCCCGCGUACCGCAAAAAAAAAAAAACCAGAAUCCGCCUGCCAAUGCAGGGGACAAGGGUUCGAACCCUGGUCCGGGAAGAUCCCACAUUCCGUGGAGCAGCUAAGCCCGUGCACCACAACUACUGAGCCCACGUGCCUAGAGCCCGUGCUCCACAACAAGAGAAGCCACCACAAUGAGAAGCCCGUGGACUGCAAUGAAGAGUAGCCCCUGCUCGCUGCAACUAGAGAAAGCCCGUGGGCAUCAACGAAGCCCCAAGGCAGCCAUAAACAAACAAAUAAAUAAAUAAAAAGAAUUAUACUGUUAGUAUGAUGCAUUUAAAGAUAAAAAAUAAUAAUCA